GGGGGGGGGGGGGGGGGGGGGGGGGGGGGGGGGGGGGGGGGGGGGGGGCCGGCGGGGGUGGGGGGCUGGGGUGGCGGGCGGGUGGGUAACGCGGGGGGACGCUGCCCUUGGCGUGGGGCUGGCUUCGGGAAGCGGGGGCUACUCCCGGAUGGUCGCGCCUGGUGCCAGGCGGGGGCUGGCACGGUUCGGCGGUUGGGGAUGGACUCCCCGCUUCUCAGCUUGUUGGUGGGGUAGUGGCUCACCAAGGCGUUGACGGGGAGCCGGCCUGAGAGGGGGACCGGCCACAUUGGGACGGAGAUACGGCCCAGACUCCUACGGGAGGCAGCAGUGGGGAAUAGUGCACCAUGGGCGGAAGCCUGAUGCAGCAACGCCGCGUGCGGGAUGACGGCCUUCGGGUUGUAAACCGCUUUCGCCUGUGACGAAGCGUGAGUGACGGUAAUGGGUAAAGAAGCACCGGCUAACUACGUG
rnacentral:rRNA from 1 species